GAGCAGGGAGCCGGACGCAGGACCUGAUGCCGGAGCCUGGGAUGGUGACCCCAGCCGAAGGCAGAGGCUUUCACCCACUGAGCCCCCAGACAGAGAUCACAAGCAGGCAGAGAGGCAGAGAGAGAGAGGAGGAAGCAGGGUCCCCAAUGAGCAGAGAGCCUGAUGCGGGGCUCAAUCCCAGGACCCUGAGAUCAUGACCUGAGCCAAAGGCAGAGGCUUAACUCACUGAGCCACCCAGGUGCCCCUCACUUUCAAUUUUAGUAAUUUGAGUCUUGUUUUUUCUCAGUCUAUAUAAAGAAUUGUGCAACCAA